rnacentral:rRNA from 1 species
AGAGUUUGAUCAUGGCUCAGGAUGAACGCUAGCGGCAGGCCUAACACAUGCAAGUCGAGGGGCAGCAGGGGUAGCAAUACCCGCUGGCGACCGGCGCACGGGUGCGUAACGCGUAUGCAACCUGCCCUGCACCGGGGGAUAGCCCGCCGAAAGGCGGAUUAAUACCCCAUGUACCCGGUUGUCCGCAUGGGCAAGCGGGUAAAGCCGAGGCGGUGCGGGAUGGGCAUGCGUGCCAUUAGCUGGCUGGUGGGGUAACGGCCCACCAGGGCUACGAUGGCUAGGGGGUCUGAGAGGAUGGUCCCCCACACUGGUACUGAGACACGGACCAGACUCCUACGGGAGGCAGCAGUGAGGGGUAUUGGUCAAUGGGCGGAAGCCUGAACCAGCCAUGCUGCGUGCGGGAGGAAGGCCCUACGGGUUGUAAACCGCUUUUCCGGGGGAAGAAUAUGCCCGACGAGUCGGGCGAUGCCGGUACCCCGGGAAUAAGGAUCGGCUAACUCCGUGCCAGCAGCCGCGGUAAUACGGAGGAUCCGAGCGUUAUCCGGAUUUACUGGGUUUAAAGGGUGCGUAGGCGGCCCGGGCAAGUCAGCGGUGAAAUGAGGCGGCUCAACCGUUUCGCUGCCGUUGAUACUGCGGGGCUUGGAUACGGUCGGGGCGGGUGGAAUUCGUGGUGUAGCGGUGAAAUGCAUAGAUAUCACGAGGAACGCCGGUAGCGAAGGCAGCUCGCCGGGCCGAGAUCGACGCUGAGGCACGAAAGCGUGGGGAUCAAACAGGAUUAGAUACCCUGGUAGUCCACGCCGUAAACGAUGAUGGCUGGGUUUUCGUCCGUAAGGGCGAGGGCCUGAGGGAAACCAUUAAGCCAUCCACCUGGGGAGUACGGCCGCAAGGCUGAAACUCAAAUGAAUUGACGG